rnacentral:lncRNA from 1 species
AGUGUGCUCUCGGUCCCCCGACCGCGGGCGGAGCCUUCCCCCCAGUUCGGCGAGGCUUUCGACCGGGUUCCCGUGCUUCCCCAGGCGCAGAUAUGGGCGUCCGCCGUGCGUCCUCCUUUUUCAGCCAGGACAGGCUGCUUCUCCCCCUUGAACAACAGCCUCCAGCUGAGCCAGGACUGGGGCUGAGGACCCAGAGCAGCCCUCCCCGGGGGGCAGAAGCUGCUUCGGCGGAACGAGGAACACGGUCUGUUCCGUGUCGAAGGAAACGUUCUGUGAUUUAUGCUUAAACCGCAAUGGGCGCGACGGUGCUUUCGGCUUGAUAACCGGAGCUCCCAAGCCACCUCCUCCAGGAUGCCUUCCUUCAUUCCCCCAGACAGAGCCGCUCCUCCCUCUGUGCCUCAGUUUCCUCAUCUGUAAAAGGCGGCGCAGUAAGGAUUAAUGAGAUGCUACACAUAACAUGCUCAGACCCUGGCCCGGCCAUUGGUGUCGAAAGCUGCGUCACCUCUGAGUCACCACGGGAUUGGGGAAGCUGUUUAUCGCAGAUGCAGAACUGGCUUGUGGACAGGAAGAAACGCGGGGCAGCGAGGAAUAACUGCUUUCCCAGACGGGAAGCACAGAGGAUGGAGCUCUCCGUGGCUGUGUCGGAACUUGUUUGUGUGUUUCAUUUUGACGUUUUUCUUAAAUGACCCAGAAAUGAUCUUUCCAAGAUGCACUGAUUCUGCCUGGAUGCCUCAGUGAGGGAGUGUGGCAUCUCAAACUCAAAGUGUGCCAAAGCCAGCUCGUCACCGCUCCUCCCCAGCGGCUUCUCCUGCUCUCAGUGGCGUCGCCGUCCUCUGUGGGAACCAUUGUGAUUCUCUCCUGCUUCUGGAUUCUUUUUCUCCUGUCGUUGCUACUGCUCGGAAAUAUCUUUAUUUUGCCUUUGCUCUUUACAGAAAGUUUUAUUAUGGGAAAUCCAGACUCAUACAAAAAUAGAGAAUGAUACAGGAGAGAAUAAUGAACCCCUGUGUACCUGUCAGCCAGCUUCACAAUUAUCAGCCCAUGGCUUGUCUUGUUUCACCUACUCCUGCCCACUCUCCCCACCCUUCCAUGCCCCGAGAUUAUUUUAAAGCAAAACCUAGACUAGACAGCAUAUCAUGCCUGCAAAUAUAAGGAUGCAUUAAAUUAUAUAACUAUAGACACAAGCUAAUCACAAAAAGACAAACACCGUAUGAUGACACUUACAGGAAAUACUUAGAGUAGCCAACCACACAGACACAGAAGGUAGACAUAGUGGUUGCCAGUGUCUGGCAGGUGCAGAGAAUGGGGAGUUAUUGUUUAAUGGUAUAGGGUUUCAGGUUUACAAGAUGAAGAGAAUUGUGGAGAUGGAUGGUAGUGACGGUGCACCACGUUACAAAUAUAUUUAAUACCACUGAACUGUUAAAAAUGGUAAAUUUUAUGUUUAUGUAUUUUGCCAUGAUAAAAAAUUGGAAAAAAUACAUAACUAUAAUGCCAUUACCAUUCCUAAAAAAAUAACAAAAAUUCCUUAAUAACAUCAAACAUGCAUUUAGGGUUCAAAUUUCCUGAGUUAAUUCAUAAUUUUAUUUCUUUUAAAUUCUAUUUGGUUCAGAAUCCAAAUAAGUUCUUUAUGUUACAAUUGGCUGAAAGUUUUUUUUUGUUUGUUUUUUCUUUUUUGUUUUUUGUCUUUUUAGAGCCGCACCCACGGCAUAUGGAGGUUCCCAGGUUAGGGGUUGAAUUGGAGCUGUAGCUGCCAGCCUACGCCAUAGCCACAGCAACUUGGGAUCCGAGCUGUGUCUUUCACCUACACCAGAGCUCACGGCAAACCUGGAUGCUCAACCCACUGAGCGAGGCCAGGGAUCGAACCUGCGUCCUCAUGGAUGCUAGUCAGAUUCGUUUCCCCUGAGUCAUGAUGGGAACUCCCCUUUAGUAGCAGAUUUUGCAGUGUCUUCAAGAAUUGAGGAGAGGUUCCUGAUUAUAGCAUCACUUCCACUCACUCCUAAGCAGGGACUUGCCAAAGGCGGUGAAUCCUGAAUCCUGAAUGCCUUCUGGUGGGACCCUCUAUACUUGAUGAAAGUUCAGGGUAAUGGACACAUGCGGUGUUUUUGUUUGAUCGUGGACAGUUUGGAGGCACAGCGGGAUAACCUGAGAGGCAUGAGCAAGUGAUGCGCCAGCUAUCUGGGCAUUCAUAGGCCCAAGGGGAAUGAUAACCAUUCCACUGUCAUUUUUUUCUUUGUUCUUCAGCUGGACUCGUAUAAAGACUAACAUCCUUUCCUAAACUAUUUGGAUUCCCUGAGGUACAGUUCGUACGGGAAAGGCAGGGUAAGUGCUUGAUUCUUUCCAUUUAUUUUCCAUUUUAAAAAUGAUGAGUUGGUUCCCUAACAUUAUCUGAAGAUGAGCAAUGAGAUGGUUUGGUCUCAUUAUGAACUCAUGGAUUUAAACAAAUGUGGCGUGUUUCAAUCCAUUUCAGUUUUUAUCUUUAUUGAUGCUCAGAUGGUCCCAUCCGUGGUUAAGGGGAAACAUCUUCAACGAGACUCCCAAGUCCUCUUGAUUAUGACCUCAGUAGUCUCUGCCAGCUUUCCCGCUUUGGGGAAUGACGGGAUGCUCCUUUUUGUGUGUUUCUUGUCCCACACCUGCGAUCAGCCAUUUCUCCAAGGGCUUGGGGUGAGAAAGGGUUCCAAGUUGAAAAUGCUACUUAUCUAUUGUCUCGCUUUCUUUUUGGUGGGAAAAGAUAUUUAGAAACCAGUCUGGGUACUAGGGUUUACAUUAUUUUUUAAUAUUAUAUUGGAUACCUACAAAAAUAGUGUAUACCGUAAUAAUUAUGAAGCACCAUAAUAAAAUGACUACUAAUCAGCCACCACCCAUUUUAAGAAUUAGAACAUUAUCAACAUUGUGUCAGUGCUACCUCUUUAUCUCAUCCCUCAGCCUCCAUCUAAGAGGGCGGAUUGUAUAUUUAUCCUUCUCUUGCUUAAAAGAAGUUAUCACAUUUGUAUGUGUCCUUAAAUAUACAUGUUUAGUUUAUAGGGGUUUUUUUUUGAAUUUUAUAAGAAUGAUAUUGUGAAGUAUGUUCUUCUGUGCUCUUCCUUGCUUUUACUUAAUGUAAAUCAAAAUAAAUCUUAGAAAUAUCCU